GAGCCGCCGCCGCCGCCGAGAGGAGACGCCCCAGCCCCGAUAGGAUCCGCCGCCGCCGCCGAGGAACGAGGUCGCUGCCGCGUCCCUCGCCCGCGGCCACGAUGACCGAUCUGGCGUUGGCGCCGCAGAUCACCCUCUGGUCCAUGGCCUCGACUAGUUUGCUAUGAUCUGGCGACGGGGAUGCAAGGAGAAGCUGCUGCGGUUUCAAGGGGCCGUGAGGAUGCCCACCAUGAAGGCGUGUCUGGGAUGAUGGAGGUGAUAUCCGCCAGGUCCCCGUUGCCGUCGACUGGCGGCGGCCACCGUCUCCUCUUCCAUGGCGUCGUCGGGGCCUUCCCCUGCCAAGCGCAGCGGCUCCUUGGCUGGAUCACCAUCGCACACCUCACCGGCAUGGUCGGCAAGAUCUGCAUCUCGAUCCUCGCCACUCUCCAUCCUCUUGCAGGUGGCAGGUAUGCAUUCAGAUGUUGCAGGUCUAAGGAAGGGUAGUAUAUGGCACAUGGCUUCGUGGGUUGUUCGACAAGAAGUGUUUUGGGCAUAUUCGAAAGGCAAUCUUGUGAAAAUUAUACAUCGAUUUUCUUAUUCCGUCAUCAGCUUCUAUUGAUAUGAGCGAUACAAAAAGUUCAGCACUGAAUUUUAGUAUGUUAACUUGCAAGAUUUCUCACGACUAUGUUUUUUUGUUAUAGGUUUAUAAAUUUCGAAAUAUAGUUGCAGCUUCACGGAAUGGACGGCCCAAAUUAUGUUAGUGUCUAUAUGUUUACUUGGUGGUGGUCUAGCGUGAGUGACACCUGCAUCUGUAACUUACCCAUUGGAUGUUCUUUGAAAUCACCUGACAACACAGAAAACCACUAGGUAUUACAAGGGCAUCUUUCACACGUUGUCUACAAUUUGUAGAGAAGAGAAUGGUAGAGGAUUGUAAAGGCCUUUGGUCCACCUUAUUGGGAGUUGGACCUGAUAUAUCAAUCAACGUUUAUGUAUAUGAAUCCCUGAGGUCUCAUUGGAAAAUGGAAAGUUGAAUGUCAAACUGUGUGACCAAUGAUUUGAUAUGGUUAAUUCCAGUUGGGUGUGUUAACCUACAGUAAUCAAUCAAGUCAACAAAUAUAACAAUGAUACUUUGUCUUCUGAUUUUUGGUGAUGAUUUUUUUUGUGACUGAACUAACAGGAGUUGAAGCAUGUGUUCUUAUUUUUUUAUAUGACUAGGUGCAUAUGAACUGAAGCUCCAUAAUUUUCUUUUCAAGUCGACAUUGGUGGCAACCAAUACAAUUAGCAUUAUUUACAACCAAUGAAGUCUUAUAAUUUUCUUUCUUAGAAAUAUACAGUGACGCUGACUAUCAUUUAGUAGCUCUACAGGCACUAGCCAAAAACAAUAAUGUUUAUUUAUUUAACCACCAAAUAGAACAAUAGGUUAUUCUGCAUUAUGGGUACACAAAUCACAACACUAUAUUUCAGCUGUAGAAAUCUGUGUGGAUGCCUGCUGAUAUUUUAAGCCUACAUAUUGCCGAUUUGGUUUGAGUAAUGCUUGAAGCAUAAUUUACUCCCUAAUGUGCAAAUAGCAGUAUCAUUUUUUGUCAAGAAACUGAGAAGACGGAAGAGAGUUGGUGUUGUCACUGUGGUGAGCCUAUGCGGCAACCAC